GACGAACGUUGGCGGCGUGCCUAACACAUGCAAGUCGAGCGAGAACCCGAGGAGGGGUAACCCUUCUCGGGGGAGAGCGGCGAACGGGUGAGUACCACGUGGGCAACCUGCCCCAGGCACCGGGAUAACCCAGGGAAACCGGAGCUAAUACGGGAUACUACCGGGGGACCGCCUGAUCGGCCGAGGCAAGCGCCUGCGGCCUGGGAUGGGCCCGCGGCCUAUCAGCUUGUUGGCGGGGUAACGGCCCACCAAGGCGCCGACGGGUAGCUGGUCUGAGAGGACGGUCAGCCACACUGGGACUGAGACACGGCCCAGACUCCUACGGGAGGCAGCAGUGGGGAAUCUUGCGCAAUGGGCGAAAGCCUGACGCAGCGACGCCGCGUGGGGGAUGACGGCCCUCGGGUUGUAAACCCCUUUCGGCAGGGACGAAGCCGCAAGGUGACGGUACCUGCAGAAGAAGCUCCGGCUAACUACGUGCCAGCAGCCGCAGUAAAAC
rnacentral:rRNA from 1 species